GACGAACGCUGGCGGCGUGCUUAACACAUGCAAGUCGAACGGAAAGGCCCUGCUUUUGUGGGGUGCUCGAGUGGCGAACGGGUGAGUAACACGUGAGUAACCUGCCCUUGACUUUGGGAUAACUUCAGGAAACUGGGGCUAAUACCGGAUAGGAGCUCCUGCUGCAUGGUGGGGGUUGGAAAGUUUCGGCGGUUGGGGAUGGACUCGCGGCUUAUCAGCUUGUUGGUGGGGUAGUGGCUUACCAAGGCUUUGACGGGUAGCCGGCCUGAGAGGGUGACCGGCCUCAUUGGGACUGAGAGACGGCCCAGACUCCUACGGUAGGCAGCAGUGGGGAAUAUUGCACAAUGGGCGGAAGCCUGAUGCAGCGACGCCGCGUGCGGGAUGACGGCCUUCGGGUUGUAAACCGCUUUCGCCUGUGACGAAGCGUGAGUGACGGUAAUGGGUAAAGAAGCACCGGCUAACUACGUG
rnacentral:rRNA from 1 species